rnacentral:sRNA from 1 species
UACUACUUGCUGCUUAGCCUGUCCUCUUCUUCAUUUUUCU